CCUCCCCUGGCCGGCCCGGCCCGCUCGCCUUCUCUUUUCUUGCAGAGGGACAGAAGAGUCACAAGUUGGACAAGUGCCAAAAGAGGCCGGCCCGCCAUGCAGCUGAAACUUUUACAAAGCCAGCAGGAAGAGACGCGAGGCGCUUGUCAAGAAAGAAAAGAAGGAUUAAAAAAAAAAAAAAAGAAGUCUCUUCUCCCGCCUUUCGGCCUUUGCACUUGUGCCUUGUUCCCGCCAUACUGUAUGCGCCCUGCCCUGCCUUCUUUGGCAGAGAGGACAGGAGGGGAGGGGAGGAGCCGCUGGGUGGGUACUUUGGGUUCAGAGAGUUCAGCUGAGGAGAGAAAUAAAUUCAUAAACAACAAAGGAGACGUGACGUCAGGUCGGAGGGGCCGUCCGAGCGCUCGGCUGAAUCCGAGCCUCCGUGGAACAACUGGAUUGUGUUGGAGUACAGUACGGCACAGCUGUGUGUGUGUGUGUUUGUGUGUCCUGAUCGGCGAGAAAAGACUCGAGUGGAGUUAAAGCUGACACACUGGACCAUUCUUUUUUUCUGUUAUCUCCUGGGUGAGUGUUUCGAAGAAGCGACGGAGGGCUUGGGUGGGGGGGGUUGUAGAUCCGUCCUUCUAAUCAAGUGCCUUCAUCAGGUGCAUGUGAAAAAAAGAGUAAGUGGGAGGACAAAAAGAGUUUUCUCGAUUUUUUGGAAAUGAUGUCAGCUCCGCCGUGAGCUCGCAUUGGUCGGGCGGUGCGCCCCGUGAUUGGUCACUUGAAGUCCUCGGCAGGCAGGGACUGAAAUUGGGCAUUUCAAAUAUUAACGUCGGUCAUGAAUAAGAAGGGAUGAGCGCCAACGUCCGUCUGUUUGUUGUUUCCCGUUAGCAAACAUGGCGAGCAAUAUGGCGCCCGCCGGCUGGUUUCUCGCGCCAUCUGCCGGUCACGGCGGGGCGUUGGAAGGAGGCGAGCGGCGUGGCGCCGCCGCCGAUGCGGCCCAGCUGCUACGUUUGUGUCACCGCUCCCGACAAUUCGUGUGACUUGUGACUGGAACGCUCUUUCUUUCCACGCUUCCUCUCGCCGACUCCUCCUCUGCGUUCGCCCUCUCUCGCGACAGACAGCGUGUCCCUCCCUUCCUCUUUCUCUGUGUGUGUGUGUGUGUACAGCCGCCCUCCCUUCACUCUCUUUCCCUCUUGUCAGCGGUGCCAAAGUGGGCAGGCAGGCAGGCAGGCGAAAAAGAGAGCAGGCCGAAGCAGAGGGCGAGCUGGCGAAUGGAUCACGCCGAGGUUUACAACCCGCGGCCGUUUCCUUCGCCGCCGAGGCUUCGGAGUACGCCGGCGCUCAUUUUGGGAUGCGCACUCGCGGCAGUAGGAGGGGAUUGUGGGAAAAAAAAGGGGUGUUGCUCUCAGAGGGUGUGCUCUACUCCUCUCUCUUCCCUUCAUCAUGGCCCUCUUCUCCUCCGGUCCUCGGGCCCAGGCCGCCGCUCACGUAGCAUCGCAGGAGCGCGACCUUGACGGACGGCGCCGGCCCGCAAGGCAACGUGAAUGCUGCCCUUGGGCCUGAGGUAGUAGAUUGAAUAGUUGUGAGGGUUAGGUAGCCUCUUUUCCAGAUAACUAUACAAUCUACUGUCUUUCCCAAGAGACAGUUUACUCGCCCAGGUGACAACCGCACCGUCCGAUGGGACCGAAUGCAAACAUCGAGCGUUGCGAUCAUUUCUGUGUUUGCUCCCGAGUGGUGUAUUAGAUUACCUGCCAGGUGGAUGUGUGUUGGAACCGGGCUUUGUCAGGGUGAGGUAGUAGGUUGUAUAGUUUGCUGGGUGGCUCGACACCCUUCUCAGGUGAUAACUAUACAGUCUAUUGCCUUCCUUGAGAAGCUCACAAACUGACGACCGCCGACGCCAACGUUUCCUGAGCCGGGCCGCACGUUUCACAGAUUUAGUCUCAGUUUACUAAACCAACAAAAGUUGCUUGAUGUGAAAUCUGUGACUGUUUUUUUAACACAAAGCGAUUAUUUUUGUUGUACUAAAUAGCAACUUGUGGAACACACGCCCUCUAGUGGCCGAGGACUCAAUAGUUCUGCAUGACACUACUUAGUGGCAAAAAAGAUGCCGGUACUUUAUUUGUUGUAAAUAAAAUAUAUUUUCAGAGCAAUGUAGUGAAAUUGGAUCAUUUCCAAAGACACACUCUCAGCAGAUUACAUGUAAUCCAGUAUUGCACUAUGUAUGAUUCAGUGUAUCAUUGUAAGAAUUAAGUGACUAGAAUUCAGUUUGUAUAAAAAUGACAAUAAAGUUUUUUUAAAUGAGUCAACCUA